UCUCAUUCUUUUCUGAUGGGCGGCGCGAGAAAAGGAGGGGGAUCCAAGGAUGGAUUCUGACUCCAGCAGGAGAUAUUUAAAUCAUCGUCAGUCUUGCGAAACAUCAUCCGUCUCGGUUUGUAUCGCUGUAUCGGUGAAUGUAUCUCUCGAACGACGAUAAAUCAUCUUCCUUCCCGCGCGAUAAACACUUGGCUCGAUUCGUGGCAUCACGCUCUGUAUAUGAUUUGGUAUAUGGUUCUUGAUGAGAUGGUUGCGUGAUUUAUAUAUAAGAAGAAGUUCUUAUGGUAUUUGGAAUGUUAAAAAUUUGACAGAAAGAUAAUUAAGUUUGUUAUGUAUUGUUAAAAAAUUGUAAAAGAUUGUAGAUAGUUUGAGAAUGUGAUAGAAGUUGCGAUUGAAUUAUAUACUACUCGUCUAUGAUAACUAUAGCAAGAGCAUGACAUUUAUUCAUUCUUUGCAAGAAGAAUAUAGAAAGUGGAAUUGCUCGAAACAAUCUCUGCUUUUUAUCCGAUUUUAAGAAUGCACGUUGAACUGAUUCUUAGCCAAGAACUACUUAAAACUUGUACCAUCUACGGAGAAUAUUCUGCAGAAUAAUAUCUUUCUGAGAUAUUUAAAUGGAAGAAAAAGGGAAGGAAAAGUUCUCGUCAUGAUAAUUCUUUAAGUUGCGAUAAAUAAACAAUGACUUUUG